CCUACGGGGGGCAGCAGUAGGGAAUCUUCCACAAUGGGCGAAAGCCUGAUGGAGCAACGCCGCGUGGGUGAAGAAGGUUUUCGGAUCGUAAAACCCUGUUGUCAGAGAAGAAAGUGCGUGAGAGUAACUGUUCACGUUUCGACGGUAUCUAACCAGAAAGCCACGGCUAACUACGUGCCAGCAGCCGCGGUAAUACGUAGGUGGCAAGCGUUAUCCGGAUUUAUUGGGCGUAAAGGGAACGAAGGCGGUAUUUUAAGUCUGAGGUGAAAUCCCUCGGCUUAACCAGAGUAGUGCAUUGGAAACUGGGCGACUUGAGUGCAGAAGAGGUGAGUGGAACUCCAAGUGUAGCGGUGAAAUGCGUAGAUAUAUGGAGGAACACCAGUGGCGAAGGCGGCUCUCUGGUCUGUAACUGACGCUGAGGUUCGAAAGCGUGGGUAGCAAACAGGAUUAGAUACCCUUGUAGUC
rnacentral:rRNA from 1 species